UACGAAGGUGGCAAGCGUUGUUCGGAUUUACUGGGCGUACAGGGAGCGUAGGCGGUUGGAUAAGCCCUCCGUGAAGUCUCCAGGCUUAACCUGGAAAGUGCAGAGGGGACUGUUCAGCUAGAGGAUGGGAGAGGAGCGCGGAAUUCCCGGUGUAGCGGUGAAAUGCGUAGAGAUCGGGAGGAAGGCCGGUGGCGAAGGCGGCGCUCUGGAACAUUUCUGACGCUGAGGCUCGAAAGCGUGGGGAGCAAACAGG
rnacentral:rRNA from 1 species